rnacentral:rRNA from 1 species
CCCUUAGAUGUUCUGGGCCGCACGCGUGCUACACUGAGUAAUUCAAUGGGUAAGGGAACGCUAGAGCAUUACCUAAUCUUGAAAUUUGCUCGUGAUGGGGAUCGACGGUUGCAAUUUUCCGUCGUGAACGAGGAAUACCUUGUAGGCGCAUGUCAACAUCAUGCGCCGAAUACGUCCCUGCCCUUUGUACACACCGCCCGUCGCUCCUACCGAUUGAGUGAUCCGGUGAGGCUCUGGGACCUGGACGGAAAGAGCGUUUCGCUUGUUCUGUUUGGGAAACUUGGUCGAACCUUAUCAUUUAGAGGAAGGAGAAGUCGUAACA